rnacentral:rRNA from 1 species
GAGGGGAGUGAAAUAGAACCUGAAACCGUGUACGUACAAGCAGUAGGAGCACCUUCGUGGUGUGACUGCGUACCUUUUGUAUAAUGGGUCAGCGACUUAUAUUCAGUGGCAAGGUUAACCAUCUAGGGGAGCCGUAGGGAAACCGAGUCUUAACUGGGCGUUCAGUCUCUGGAUAUAGACCCGAAACCAGGUGAUCUAGCCAUGGGCAGGUUGAAGGUUGAGUAACAUCAACUGGAGGACCGAACCGACUAAUGUUGAAAAAUUAGCGGAUGACUUGUGGCUAGGGGUGAAAGGCCAAUCAAACCUGGAGAUAGCUGGUUCUCCCCGAAAGCUAUUUAGGUAGCGCCUCGGACGAAUACUACUGGGGGUAGAGCACUGUUAAGGCUAGGGGGUCAUCCCGACUUACCAACCCUUUGCAAACUCCGAAUACCAGUAAGUACUAUCCGGGAGACACACGGCGGGUGCUAACGUCCGUCGUGGAGAGGGAAACAACCCAGACCGCCAGCUAAGGUCCCAAAUUACUACUAAGUGGGAAACGAUGUGGGAAGGCUCAGACAGCCAGGAUGUUGGCUUAGAAGCAGCCAUCAUUUAAAGAAAGCGUAAUAGCUCACUGGUCGAGUCGGCCUGCGCGGAAGAUGUAACGGGGCUAAGUAGUAAACCGAAGCUGCGGCAAUGUGCUUUUGCACAUUGGGUAGGGGAGCGUUCUGUAAGCGGUUGACGGCAAUGUGCUUUUGCACAUUGGGUAGGGGAGCGUUCUGUAAGCCGUUGAAGGUGUGUUGUAAAGCAUGCUGGAGGUAUCAGAAGUGCGAAUGCUGACAUGAGUAACGAUAAAGGGGGUGAAAAACCUCCUCGCCGGAAGACCAAGGGUUCCUGUCCAACGUUAAUCGGGGCAGGGUAAGUCGACCCCUAAGGCGAGGCCGAAAGGCGUAGUCGAUGGGAAACGGGUUAAUAUUCCCGUACUUCUUACAAUUGCGAUGGGGGGACGGAGAAGGCUAGGUGGGCCUGGCGACGGUUGUCCAGGUUCAAGUGCGUAGGCUUAAGAGUUAGGUAAAUCCGGCUCUUUUUAAGGCUGAGACACGACGUCGAGCACCUACGGGUGUGAAGUCAUUGAUGCCAUGCUUCCAGGAAAAGCCUCUAAGCUUCAGAUUGUAAGGAAUCGUACCCCAAACCGACACAGGUGGUCGGGUAGAGAAUACCAAGGCGCUUGAGAGAACUCGGGUGAAGGAACUAGGCAAAAUGGUACCGUAACUUCGGGAGAAGGUACGCUCUCGACGGUGAAGUCCCUCGCGGAUGGAGCUAUUGAGAGUCGCAGAUACCAGGUGGCUGCAACUGUUUAUUAAAAACACAGCACUGUGCAAAAUCGUAAGAUGACGUAUACGGUGUGACGCCUGCCCGGUGCCGGAAGGUUAAUUGAUGGGGUUAGACUUCGGUCGAAGCUCUUGAUCGAAGCCCCGGUAAACGGCGGCCGUAACUAUAACGGUCCUAAGGUAGCGAAAUUCCUUGUCGGGUAAGUUCCGACCUGCACGAAUGGCGUAAUGAUGGCCACGCUGUCUCCACCCGAGACUCAGUGAAAUUGAAAUCGCUGUGAAGAUGCAGUGUACCCGCGGCUAGACGGAAAGACCCCGUGA